rnacentral:rRNA from 1 species
UACGUAGGGGGCAAGCGUUGUCCGGAAUCAUUGGGCGUAAAGCGCGUGUAGGCGGCUUGGUAAGUCUGGUGUGAAAACUUGGGGCUCAACCCCAAGCCUGCACUGGAAACUGCCUCGCUUGAGUCCGGGAGGGGAGAGCGGAAUUCCUAGUGUAGCGGUGAAAUGCGCAGAUAUUAGGAAGAACACCGGUGGCGAAGGCGGCUCUCUGGAACGGUACUGACGCUGAGACGCGAAAGCGUGGGGAGCGAACAGGAUUAGAAACCCCCGUAGUCC